AUAUAUAUAUAUAUAUAUAUAUAUAUAUAAUUUUAUUUAUAAAUAUAUAUUUAUUUAUUAUAUAUAGUAUUUUAUUUUUAUUAUAGAAAUAUUAUUAUAUAAUAUUUUAUUUAAUUAUAAGCAUAAUAUAGUUUGUUAUAUUUUUUUUACAUAAUUAGCUUAAUUUUGUAUCUUUUUAUUCUUAUAUUCAUAAGAAAUAUGAGUAUUUAUACUAAUAGUAUAGUAUAAAUUUUGAGAAAAAAAAUAAUUUAAUAGCCGAAUUUUUAAUUCCGAAUUUUUGAUUGGUAAACGUAUAAUAUCCGUAUAAAUCACGUAUCCGAAUAAUUAUCGAAUCCGUUUUUUAGCCGUAUUUUUCAACGAAUUUAAAAAUUAGAAAACGAAUUUUAACCGAAUUAUAUUCGUACCGAAUUUUUGCCGAAUCCGACUUAACUAACUAUGGGUGAGACUAAGCCAUCA
rnacentral:lncRNA from 1 species